AUGAAGGCCAGGCUAACGACCUUGCCAGACACGCUGAGAGGAGGUGCAUGGCCGUCGCCAGCUCGUGCCGUGAGGCGUCCGGUUAAGUCCGGCAACGAGCGAGAUCCCCACCCCCAGUUGCGAUCCCGAUGCCUGGAUCGGGAGCACACUGGGGGGACUGCCGCCGAUAAGGCGGAGGAAGGAGGGGGCCACGGCAGGUCAGCAUGCCCCGAAUCCCUCGGGCUACACGCGGGCUACAAUGGUGGGGACAGCGGGUGCCGACCCCGAAAGGGGAAGGCAAUCCCUGAAACCCCGCCGUGGUUGGGAUCGAGGGCUGUAACUCGCCCUCGUGAACGUGGAUCCCUAGUAACCGCGCGUCAACAUCGCGCGAUGA
rnacentral:rRNA from 1 species